rnacentral:rRNA from 1 species
GUAGGAAGCUUGCUUUCUGCCGCCGGCGACCGGCGCACCGGUGAGUAACACGUAUGCAACCUGGCCGUGACAGAUGGAUAACCGGGAGAAAUCCCGCCUAAUACAACAUAAUGCCGGGAGGGGACAUCCCCUGCCGGCCAAAGGGGGCGACCCCGGUCAUGGAUGGGCAUGCGGCGCAUUAGGUAGUUGGUGGGGCAACGGCCCACCAAGCCGACGAUGCGUAGGGGUUCUGAGAGGAAGGUCCCCCACAUUGGAACUGAGACACGGUCCAAACUCCUACGGGAGGCAGCAGUGAGGAAUAUUGGUCAAUGGCCGGAAGGCUGAACCAGCCAAGUCGCGUGAGGGAAUAAGGCCCUACGGGUCGUAAACCUCUUUUGCCAGGGAGCAAUGCCGUCCACGUGUGGACGGAAGGAGAGUACCUGGAGAAAAAGCGUCGGCUAACUCCGUGCCAGCAGCCGCGGUAAUACGGAGGAUGCGAGCGUUAUCCGGAUUUAUUGGGUUUAAAGGGUGCGUAGGCGGCCUGCCAAGUCAGCGGUAAAAUUGCGGGGCUCAACCCCGUACAGCCGUUGAAACUGCCGGGCUCGAGUGGGCGAGAAGUAUG